CGAGUUGUGAAGCGUUUCCAGAGGAUAGAUGGAGGGCACCAUGGAGCAGCCUUCAAAGCCUGUGGCAGAGGAGACACAUGAUGCCCGCAGGCACAUCAGCUUAAAUCCUCACAUCAGAGAAAAAGGCAAGUUGCAAAACCCAUGCUACACGCCCAGAGAACGGGACACCACCACUAAGAUGUCUAUCUAUUUGCAAAAGCAAGCAGAUCCCCCCAAAUGAAAGAAAUAAAAAUACAAACAUCUACCUAUUCUAUCAUUCCCUUCAAGCUGAUCCUGCAGCUGGAAAAGCAGCACCGGGCAGUCAAAGCUCCUCCGGCAACACGUUCUCCAAGCCGGUUAGUUCACAACCAAGCUGCCUUUCACCAGAGCCGUUCAUCAAACCACAGCCUGAGCAACCUAAGAAGAUGUUGUUUUGACUGCGCACAUGUUCGCCACAAAGACAGCAAACAAGCAGGAGUCACAUGCUGGUUAGGGUCAGGAAAGAAGAGCAACUGGCAUUCAGAGCAGCUGUGGUCGUGUUGAAUAAAAGCACCGAGCUGUAGAUCAACGUUUCUGUCUGAAUCUGGAAUGAACGUCGGUAUGGAAGAGUUGGCAGGAACUGUGCUGCAGCAAUGUGUGCUGUGGUUCUGGCAUGUAAACUACCAGAUAUUACCAGCCACUGCAAUAUGUGCUACUGCGCUCACAUCACAGGGAGAUGAUGUUUACACUCCAUCUUGUCUUUAUGCUACAUAUAAAUUGUGCUUAUUCAACAUUGUGAAGAAGAUAAACUCAGUAUAUAAAAGCUUGAGUGUCGGUGUCUAACGCUCAAAAUAAAACUCAAAUUAGAAAGCAAGAGUCCAGAUUUAGAUUAAACUGAAUCUGAUCCACUAUUCUCAGAAGGUUGAUUAUAUUUCUGUAUCAGCACACCUGAAGCUUGUUUCAACCUGAAUGGUGGUCAUUUUGUCAUAUUAGUUCCCAUGUUGGCUUCCUUAUUCCUACUGUCUGCUGGACAUCUCUACCACUGUGUGGUUUCUUUGUGGCCUAAACCGUCAUCAAGCUAAACCAACAAUAUAUGGAACAAUGAGGAGGAACAUCAGAGAAACGCCUGGGGUUGUAGAUGAGACAAAACUGCUUUUAGUGAAGACAAACAUCUGAUUCUGCUUCAUCCCUUGAGUUUAGGAGGAUUCUUAUAAGAGGAUGGAAAAGUAUUCAUUCCCCUUGAACCUUUUUAUGUUUUGUCACGUUGCAACAAAGGAUUAUACACAGAAAGCCUCCAUUUACGGUUUAGCUGACCUCUGAAGGUAGCUGGGUCCAUUAGAUUUUAUUUAUGGGUAUUGGAAUAAUAUGGGUUAAAUAUGAAAGGACAUCAAACUUCUAAAUAUGAUUUUCCUCACUUUUCUGUAUGUGACGACCGUAUAAAACCCUACAAAAAAACCCUCAAAUUUGUGGCUGUAAAGUCAUAAAAUGAUCUAGGGGUAUGAAUACUUUUGCACGGCCCAUAUGUUUGGAUGAUUCUUGUCAGAGUUGCAUAGCUUACCAAAAACAAAGUUACUCUGAAGAAAAUGCAGCUGAGAGCCAAGAAAACCUUUAAAAGUCUUUAGGAACGCCUGAAAAAGUAUUAAUCAAGAACUUCUGUUAGUUUGACGAGAAAUUGGAGGAAAGGAGGAUAGAGUCAGCCUUUAUAUAUUAUGUAUUUAAAGAUGAAAUUGGAAGGUUUUAGAGACAUUUUGGGGUAAAUUUGCAGAUUACAAUGAGAUGGUUACCGUUUACUACAUGAAAGCACUCUGUGCAGUGAUGGUUUGGUUUCUACAUUAUGGGCCACAGCAGAAACAUGGUCAGUGUAAAAUAUGACAAACUACAAAAUAAAUCUAACUGAAUUUAA